rnacentral:lncRNA from 1 species
GGACUGACAAAGGCCUCUCUCACUUCUGCGUCCUCUCAUGCCUAAGGCAGGGAAGACGCCAAGAGGAGCCCUGAGGUGUGCUGUUGAAGCAAGAAGCCUCCCUGUAUAUUUGGCCCAUGGAAAUCAAUUUCUUUGCUCGACAGUACGAGGUUUUCCUUUCUCCAAGUGUGAUGGGAAGAGGCAUCAGAGCUUCAGAGAAGGCAAGGGUAGAUUAAGGAGCCAAAACCAGAGGAUGGCAAGCAUGGCUGACACGUGUUCCCCAUGAAUUUAGGUGCUAGGGUGGCCGCCUCGUUUUGGAUGUUGCAACAACUGGGUUUUCCUCUCUGGCUCUGUUAUAUAGACACUGGACUGCACGGGAGAAACAGGUCAUAUAAUCCUCAAGACAACGUUUCAAGGAUACUAUCUCCAUUUUACAGAUGAGGUACUGAGGAAUCAAGAAUAUGCUUAAGAUCAUGGACUGAAAAUAGGGAUUUAUUGCAGAAAUCUUAGAAUCCAAGUCUUUGAUGUUGGGACAGUAAAAUCCAGGUGAUGCCGGAGCCCUGACGGGUGAACAGUUGAUAAAAGCAUGUGCAAGCUAACCAUGUCUUUCCUAAUUUACCACUCCAACCUCUGCCCCUCCGUGCUCCCAGGACUGAUGGAUUACAAUCUCAGGAGACUGCCUCCUCUCAAAGCUGCUCUUCCCUGAGUUGACAGUUCAUAUACAGGAAUUUCUGCAAGACAGACUGCUUCUAGGAAUUAACUUAACCAACACUAUGGAUGCACUCUAUGGAGAAAACUUUAAAAGCUAUUGAAGUGAAAACUGCUUUGAAAGGCAAAACUCCUGAGGUCAGAUCUGUCUCUCUGACUGAAGGGAAGGAAAUGAACGGAACCCCUUGAAGCAAAGUUGUGUAUUUCCAUUCAGAAGAGGAACAUUCUACCUCUCUCUUGUGAGAGCGGUGGAUUCCUGGUCCCUGAAAGCAUUGGAACAUGGGCCAAGUAACUACUUGGUGAGCCAUUGUAAAGGAAAUUCAAGGGGUACCAUGAGGAUUGGGUUUCACAAGCCUCAAAGUCCUUCCCAAGUCUGAGCAUCUCAGCGGCUGCUGGACUAUCUUUCCGGGUUUUGCCUUCACCUUGGUCACCAGGAUUGCGACACGCUUUUGGGGUAUGGAUGGAUGGGUAGAU